ensembl:snRNA
GUGUUGCAUGGAAAGAGAUGUUAGCAUUCCUCUUGACAAGGAUGGAAGAGACACUUGGGCCUGACAACACACAUAUAGUUAAGGCAUUGCUACAUAAUUUGUGGCAUCUAACUAUAGUCUUCU